rnacentral:rRNA from 1 species
AAUGAACGCUGGCGGCGUGCUUAACACGUGCAAGUCGAACGAGAAAGUCCUUUGGGGCGAGUAAAGUGGCGCACGGGUGAGUAACGCGUAGGCAACCUACCCCUUUGACCGGGAUAACAGUGCGAAAGCGCUGCUAAUACCGGAUACGAUCCUGAACCGGGAGGUUUGGGAUGAAAGUCGGCCACUCGCAGAAGCCGGCGCAUGGGGAUGGGCCUGGGUCCUAUCAGCUAGUUGGUGGGGUGACGGCCUACCAAGGCGACGACGGGUAGCUGGGCUGAGAGGAUGAUCAGCCACACUGGCACUGGAAUACGGGCCAGACUCCUACGGGAGGCAGCAGUGAGGAAUUUUGCGCAAUGGGAGCAAUCCUGACGCAGCAACGCCGCGUGAGUGAUGAAGGCCUUCGGGUCGUAAAGCUCUGUCAGGUGGGAAGAACGUGCCUGGAAUGAAUAAGUUCGGGCAGUGACGGUACCACCAGAGGAAGCACCGGCUAACUCCGUGCCAGCAGCCGCCGUAAAAC